rnacentral:sRNA from 1 species
AUGUUCAAAAACGCAUUACAACUACCUC